GACACAGCAGCACACAGAGCCUGAUACACCCCCAUCUCAAGUCAAACCUCUCACCCAUGCCCUGCCCUGGCCUCCACUUGUAUUUCCCUGCAAUUGAAAAACACUCCAAAUAUCUGUUUGUGUCUUUAGCCUUCCCAGCUUCAAGAACAGAGUCCUGACUGACCUCUGCCAUGAGCAGACAACUGCACCAACAUCCAACAGAGCUGAGGAAAUCCAUCUGGAGACCUGAGUCUUCUUCAACUGGUAACACUGGAAAAAAAUAACUUCCUUUUCAUUUCUUUUGCUCCUGGAGAAUGACAAGUUCAAAAAAGGUGAGCAAACAUGCAGCUGUAGGCAGUGGCAGGGAGACCAACGGGCUUAUUUUCCACACUGAGGGUUCGUUCCAUGAAUAAUUUCUCCACAGAGAAAAGGGACUUUAUUAAGAGCAAAUGGUAUGCAGAUUUUCUCCUGCUAACCUGACUUUUUUUUUUUUUUUGACACUGAUGGAUUGACAGACCAGCUGAGGCAAGCAGCACUGCUAAUUUCAGCGGUGAAAAGAUACAAAGCAGAGCCACCCAAUAAAAAGCAAGUGAAAUAACUUUAUGCAACUUCCCUCCACCCUCAAGAGGAAAAGAUGGGUUCAUUAUAUUACAACCACUUUUUUUCCCUAAUUAUUCUGUGUCAAUAUUCCUUUCUUCAAUGAUUUCUUCCCUUCUGCUAUGUACAUCUGAAAUAAGAUAUUCUUACCACUACUUAACUACGCCUA